rnacentral:rRNA from 1 species
UACGGAGGGUGCAAGCGUUGCUCGGAAUUAUUGGGCGUAAAGGGCAGGUAGGUGGUCUCGUUUGUCUGAGGUGAAAGCCUUGAGCUUAACUCAAGAAGUGCCUUAGAAACGGCGAGACUAGAGUUCUGGAGAGGGUCGUGGAAUUCCCGGUGUAGCGGUGAAAUGCGUAGAGAUCGGGAGGAGCACCAGAGGCGAAGGCGGCGACCUGGACAGAUACUGACACUCAACUGCGAAAGCGUGGGGAGCAAACAGG